UGCCUCAGUAGCUCAGUCGGAAGAGCGCCAGACUUUUAAUCUGGUGGCCGCGGGUUCGAGCCCCGCCUGAGGUG
rnacentral:tRNA from 1 species